GGCACACGCCAAAACCGCCGUUAACCCACAGUCCGAAAGCGUUUUCCUACGUCAACACCGCCUACUUACCAGCACCAUAGAAUCAGUUUCAGGAAGCCUAGCGCCCGCCGCCACCGCCGCCGCCUUCACACUUCGAAAAUAAAUCGGAGAGGGCGGGGCCUAAGCCGGAACCAUCCCCAGUUGUUGAACCGCUCAACGGUCACGCGAGCUGUAUAGAGUGCUCAGAUGUCAGCGCGCGCUGAAGAGCCUCGCGCUGGGGCACGCGCCACCCGCCGCUCCCCGACUUUGCGAGACUCCUCAGGUGACUGCAAAGAAAGCGAAGGUCUUUCUACUCUCCCGUCCUUCUCGUCUCCUCUGUUAAACUGGAAUAUAUGAAGAGGAAGUGAUCAUAUCUUUCAUAUUUGGGCUAAAUAUCUUCUGCAAAGAUCAUUCCAAUUUGGCCCACUUGAAGAAGGACCACUUGAACAACAACAUUUGAACAGCAACAUUUCAAGACAAAAAAUGGAACAAGUUGAAGAAUAAAAUGAACAGAUCAAAACUUCAGUAACCAAGAAGUGUUUGUGUAAAGACUGAGAAAAGAGAAACAUGAUGAAUUGUUCCAAAUUCUUGGGUAAUAACAAUGCUGUAAUAAAAUUGUGACCAGGUUUCCAA